AGAUGAAGGGAGAGUGAAGAUCAUUUGUCAUGUCACCCUAUAAACAUUUUGAAGAGAGUCCAUUGAUAUAAAGCAUAAAUAUGUUCCUGUUGGCAAAGACAGGAGCAGUGUUUUCUGAUUAUAAAGAGUGUUUGUUGGAGCUACAGGAGUGUGGAAGCAAUUUCAGAAACAUCAUUGCCAGGAGACUCUGGCAGAGAGAAUUCAAACAACUGCCAUGGGAAGUGGGUUACAGCCUUCACAGGUCAUACAUGCUAAAAUACCAGAGUGGAAUGUCCUGAUGUUUGGUGGGAUUCUCAGGGGAGUAAGCAGGCCAGAGAAAGGCGACAUAGCUUACCUGUGUUUCUGUGGUGAGCCUGAGCACCAGAACAAGAACCCCACUUCCCAGUGACCUCUGUCCACUUCAGAAGGCGAGUGUAUUUAAAUAGGAUGCUGGGUUUCUGAAGUUGCAUAAGAAGACAGUUGAAUCUGAAGAAAGGCAGGCCAAAAACAAGGCAAUGCAGGUAAUAGUGAAGCAGGUGUGAGAAUGAGACCCAUUAUGCUUGGGAUCUGUGUGCAGCCAGCAAAUGUCGAUUAGGUAGCUGGUACUGAUCUGUAGCUGGUUAGUGGCCUUAUGUAAAAUAUAAUUUUCGUCGCUGGGCUCUUUGAAGGGUAUAUUUUUGGCUUGCCAUUCUCUCUACUCUGACUUCUCGACCCAACGUUCCAAUGGAAAUUUUCCAGAGCAGCGAAAUUUUAAAAUGCAUGGGCAAGAGGAGAAAUAGAAAUCAAAACCCUAAAACUAACCUGACAAGAGCGACUACAUCUAUCUAUUCUAGCUCCCCCCACCCCUCACUCCCUCAGAAAUAAACCUGCAUCUUCUGACAGAGUUUAGUUUCACAAAAUGAGAUGUACACACUGAUGAAACAGGAAAUGUAGGCAGAGAGGCAGGAGGAGGAGGCUGGGGGCGGCGGCGAGCAAAGGGGGAAGAAGUAAUGGCUUGGAUGCUAGCUGAAGAAGCCUUAAAGAUCCUAAAGAUUAUUGGGCAAUAAUUUUUACUUUGGAACUCAUUUUGCUGUUCCAAAGAAUGAUAAAACAUCUUAAUAAUUGCUUUAAAUAACCACACAGCUCCAUCAAAACAGCAUGAAAUAACACCCACAUAUGAGCAAACCUAUCUUCUGCCACGGCUGUCUUUAUAGCUUGAGAAAUCCUUAAGGAAGCAACAGGAUAAAAAAUUGAUAGAAGCAUCAUCUAGUCAGGGCCCUCAGGAUUCUAGAUUACUCCGGCCUGGGAGAGAGAUGUUUGCAGGGUGCCCUGCUCGUCCUUGAUAUCCUGAGAUCUUCAGCUGAGACAGUCAGGAAAAGGUCAUUGUUUUCAUUCUCUGAACAUUUGGCUGGAGUGGAGAUGGCAGCAUUUCAGGAUUUUCAGAAGUUCUCUACAUCUACAAGGACUUCAACCAAUCCCAAGAUUUUCUUUCUAUCCACUGGGAUUUCAGGGUACUGUGAGACCAGAGCCUUCCAGCAUAUGCUCUCCUUACACUGAUAGAAGGUGUUAAAAGCAAGCCAGCUCAAUCAAAAAAAGGCAUAUUACUUUAACUCCUUAAGUCUUGUUUCUGGCUUCAUAAGAGCUGCAGGAAAAUAGGAGGGUUCAUAAUUCAAAUUUCCGGAAUUGAUUUCUGAUAGAAAGGGGCUUAGUAGAGGGAUAUAACAAAAAGCUAAAUUUUAAGAACAUGUUUCCUGCUUGCUUACCUGUUUAGAGAAUUUUUGGUUUGAUUCAUGAAUUAAGAAUGCUUUAUAUUAGCGAGUAGAGAUCCAUUACCCUUUCUCAGCAGACCUUUCCAGCCCGUCAGAGUACAAGCUUUCUAGUUAACCUGAGAAUCCUGAUUUUGCCUGCCUCCUCGGAGUCGAGGGGGAGGGUGGGUAGAAUGUGCAGAAGGUGCUCAUUGAAUAAAUCAGAUAACUCGCAGAGUGGUAUUCAUCAUCCCUGGGCUGGGUGUGCAGCUGGACUGGGGAAUAGCUGCAAAUUUCAGGUCUCAACUCCAGUCCUAAAGCUGAUACGGAUUGUACCACCACCAAGCCCUCUGCUUGCCAGCUUCUGCUAAGGAGACAGUUGCUACAGACGCGAUGACAACUCAACUCCCUUCAAUUUCAGUGUGUUGCAAUUAACUAAGGAAUCUAAUUUUCACAAAAGACUGUUAUCAGUGAUGGUGCCAGCUUAGCAGGGGCACCAAUCUACUCUGCAAUCUAAUAUCAUGGAGCCUCACACAACCCUAUUUCUUUUUUAAUGAUGCUCAUAAAACUAUUCUUUGAAGGAA